AUGCGCCCCUGCAGCCCCUGGGGGCGGGGAGCACGUGGCUGUGUGUGAUGCCCCUCUCUGCAAGCACCGCCCCCACAGCUCCCCAUUCCCAGCCAAUGGGAGCUGUGGGGACAGUGCUUACAGACAGGAGCAGCGUGUGGCGGGAGACCCCUGACCCCCCGCCCCCAGGCUGCGCUGGCCGCUUCCAGGAGCGGCGUGGGGCCGGGGCAGCAGGGAGCCUAUCUUGGCGGCAGCCCAGCUGCACACUGGAGAUUGUGAUCGACUGGGAGAUCCUCCAGGAUCGACCAGUCGAUCACAAUUGACCAGUUGGUGAAAGCUGUUUUAGAUAAACACAACUGGCAAUCUUAGUGGGAGAGAAGGACAUAAAAAAGUUGUUUGUUUUCAUUAUUAUACUGUGUAUGUCAAAUGGAAGCUGGUUAUCUUGCACAUAAUCACAGAAUGAAAUAUCUUUUUGUUUAAAAAAAAAAGAAGUGUUCAAGUAGGCAGAAUUAGGGUUACUGUGGGAAUCUUAACUUUAAACUGCCUCACUUUAUAGCAAUUCAAGGCUCAAGGUUGGGUGGUAUAUUAACAGUUGUCAUUUAGUAUCCUUUUCUUAACAAUCUAACAGAAAAAGUACUGUGAUCAAAUUAUUAUUUUGUCAAAACCUGAAUGUGCAUUUAUUUAAGUGUCUGAUCAAUUUAUUCAAGUUUUUUUUUUUUGCCCCCUCCCUGCAAGUUUUCCAGAACAAUUUGCGUUGAGUCUUAGAACAGAGAUUUGAAAUUUUAGCCCAAGAGAUUGCUUUGGAAAGUGACAAUAAGGAGCUUUGAAUAGAAGUGACCAUCUCUCAGUCAUGAGUAAAGCAAAAUUAUCCAAUGAGGUCACUGGCCUACCGUGCUGGGGGAAACAGUAUACAUGAUACAUCUUGAUUUUAGUAAGGCUCUUGUCCCAGUCCCACAAGAUGUUCUCAUAAACAAACUAGGGAAAUGUGGUUGAGAUGAAACUACUAUAAAGUGGUUGAAGAACUGGCUGAGACACCGUACUCAAAGAGCAGUUAUCAAUGGUUCGUUGUCAAACUGAGGAUGUAGUUACAGCAGGAAGACGCUAACUAAUCUCUGCUGAUUGUGGUAGGUGCAGUUUGUUAACCCAGCCAAGAUACAGAAGUGGGUGCUGCCCCUUUGGUCAGAGGAUCUAGGCUAACCAGUCCUCGGGGAGCAACCCUAAGAGCAGUCAAACCGAAGGAGUAAUUUUGGGCUUAAAGUUGUGUAACUUCACUUCAAAUCAUUUUGUUAAAGCCAAACCCUAAGAAGGUGGUUAUCUUUGCCCUUAUAUAACAUGUGUGUACUAUGUUUUGGAGCAGGUUGGGAAAGACACCUGCUUACACUUAUCAAAUUGCUAAUCACCAAAACUGUGUUUUUAAACAGUAUAUGGCUCCGCAUUAAACUGUUCUCUUCUUAUCUGA